AACGAACGCUGGCGGCAUGCCUUACACAUGCAAGUCGAACGACACCUUCGUGUCUCGUGGCGCACGGGUGCGUAACGCCGGACAACCUGCCCUUAGGUUCGGAAUAACUCCCCGAAAGGGGUUCUAAUACCGGAUAAUGUCUUCGGACCAAAGAUUUAUCGCCGUUGGAUGGGCCCGCGUUGGAUUCGCUAGUUGGUAGGGUAAAAGCCUACCAAGGCGACGAUCCAUAGCUGGUCUGAGAGGAUGAGCAGCCACACUGGGACUGAGACACGGCGCAGACUCCUACAGGAGGCAGGAGUGGGGAAUCUAGGAAUGUGGGGGAAGGCCUGAACCAGCAAUGCUGCGAGAGUGAUGAAGGCCGUAGGGUAGUAAAGCUCUUUUACCCGGGGUGAUAAUGACAGUACCGGAAGAAUAAGCUCCGGCUAACUACGUG
rnacentral:rRNA from 1 species